UUAGGUUGGUGCAAAAGUAAUUGCGGUUUUUGCCAUUACUUUCAAUGGCAAAAACCGCAAUUACUUUUGCACC
rnacentral:miRNA from 1 species